CAACCCCAAAGAUCAUAUGCUUCAUUAUUAGAGCAUUUACCGAAAAUUCAGUAUUUUCGUAGGGGUUAGCCCAUAGAUUUUGAGAAAAAUUCAAAAAUGAAAAUUUUGUUUUAAUGCAUAGUUGCAUCCUUCACUAACAUAUGAUGAAGGUCAAAGAGGUUUGGAACUUUUUUUGUCUCCAUUUCCCUAGAAAAUAGCGAUUUUAUAGUGGUUAGUACACCAAUUUAGUGAGUAUUAAGAAGUUUUAUUAAAUUAAUUGACAAAAAAUUAAAGCGAUGCCCAUGUACCAUGAAAAUGAGUUUAAUAUACAUUAAUACAAAUGUAGAAUGUGUUUAGAAAUUUUAAAACAACCCCAAUUAUCAUAUGCUUCAUUAUUAUAACAUUUACCGAAAAAAUCAGUAUUUUCGUAGGGGUUAGCCCAUAGAUUUUGAGAAAAA